GGGUUCCAAUUACAUUGUGAGAAAAUUUCCUGAGAUGAGGGAAUGCUUAUGACCCACUUUGCAUAUAUAGUUCCACCAAAAUUUGACAGAUGCUGAUUUGGAUGACUAUUGUCAAGAAUUAAGCUGUAUGAUCUGUGCACAGCCACAGGUUUGCAGUCAAGAAAAAGGCAACCACCUGGCAGCUAGUUGUGGGUUGGUUCAGAGACCAUUUGCUAACUGGCCCAAUGGAUAUAUUAAAAUAUAUUGAGUGUAUAAUCAGAUUUGUUUCCUUUCUGUAAAUAGUUAUUAAAAGGAUGUAUGCGAUACAACUCGACGUGGACAGCAACAGUAACCACACAGUAGGGCCAUUCAUGAGUCCUCCUAUCAAUUCCAAAGAGACAUUAUAUCUAGGAGGUGUACCAGAGACAGUACAAAUGCCAAUGUUGUCUUCUAUACGUUACUCAUUUGUUGGCUGUGUAAAGAACUUAGUAAUUAAUCAGAAGCUUGUACAAUUGAACCGACCAGGAUCCGUCUAUGGUGGCGUUAGUACCAUUGGUUGUCCACUAUUGUAAAUAAGAGAAUAAAAAUCAAAUCAAGAACACUUUACCAGGACUGUUGAUUUCCAAUCCACUUAUGCACUUAAAUAUUUGUACUGUAUUUCAGAAUCUUGCUGUGGAUUUUUAUAAAUUUAAGCUAUUUUAAUGGACAUUUUAUUUGGUAUUUUGGGAGGAAAAUGUUAAUGGGUAAAAUUUAUCCUGUGACACUGGUUUUACAUUAUCUUGUAAUAAAAUCCUUAUUUCACAUUUGUAGCACUGAUUGUGCAGAACACUGGUACAAGAUUUGAAUGAAAAUAAAACUUGUAUUGAUUCUUA